rnacentral:rRNA from 1 species
AUUGAACGCUGGCGGCAGGCUUAACACAUGCAAGUCGAGCGAGCGGCGGACGGGUGAGUAAUGUCUGGGAAACUGCCUGAUGGAGGGGGAUAACUACUGGAAACGGUAGCUAAUACCGCAUACCAUCAGAUGUGCCCAGAUGGGAUUAGCUAGUAGGUGGGGUAAUGGCUCACCUAGGCGACGAUCCCUAGCUGGUCUGAGAGGAUGACCGGCCACACUGGAACUGAGACACGGUCCAGACUCCUAAGGGAGGCAGCAGUGGGGAAUAUUGCACAAUGGGCGCAAGCCUGAUGCAGCCAUGCCGCGUGUGUGAAGAAGGCCUUCGGGUUGUAAAGCUCUUUCAGCGAGGAGGCGUUACUCGCAGAAGAAGCACCGGCUAACUCCGUGCCAGCCGCCGCGGUAAUUC